AUUGAACGCUGGCGGCAGGCCUAACACAUGCAAGUCGAACGGUAGCACAGAGAGCUUGCUCUCGGGUGACGAGUGGCGGACGGGUGAGUAAUGUCUGGGAAACUGCCCGAUGGAGGGGGAUAACUACUGGAAACGGUAGCUAAUACCGCAUAACGUCUUCGGACCAAAGUGGGGGACCUUCGGGCCUCACACCAUCGGAUGUGCCCAGAUGGGAUUAGCUAGUAGGUGGGGUAAUGGCUCACCUAGGCGACGAUCCCUAGCUGGUCUGAGAGGAUGACCAGCCACACUGGAACUGAGACACGGUCCAGACUCCUACGGGAGGCAGCAGUGGGGAAUAUUGCACAAUGGGCGCAAGCCUGAUGCAGCCAUGCCGCGUGUAUGAAGAAGGCCUUCGGGUUGUAAAGUACUUUCAGCGGGGAGGAAGGCGAUGAGGUUAAUAACCGCAUCGAUUGACGUUACCCGCAGAAGAAGCACCGGCUAACUCCGUG
rnacentral:rRNA from 1 species